AUUGUAUAUCCCCCACCUCCGCCUGUCCAGAGCCAUUUAUUUCAAAGCAAGAAGGUUUUUGCUCUGAAGUGGAAGUUUAAAAGGAAAUUAUCAGGUCUUUCCUCACCUGGCUUGUUUAGAGCAUCCCUGUGAGCAGCAGGAUGUCCUGGCCCAGCGGGAGCAGGAGGGAUUGUUUUCCCUUAAGUGUUGUCACACCUCAGAGGAAUUUCCCACUGGGAUUUCUACAGAGGUUUCAACAUCAAGGGAAGGAACUGAGUCUGAAUUUUGCAUGAGGCUGUUUUUGCAAGGUGUCCAUAGACACCCAGAAGCCAACGUGGUCUCCCAAGAAUCCUGGAAAGGUUCUGCCAUCUCAGAGGAGACAUCACUGGGCCUGACCCGUGACUGUACCUACAGUGUGUGUGCAGAUGGCAUCUCCUGUCAAGGACCAAGGUGCAGUUGAUACCUUCCUGGGUGGUGAUGGAGAACAGGGCAGAUGGAGUCUGCUGUGAUGCACCAGCUCAGCCAAAGCUGGGGAUGUCCAUGACCUUCACGGCCCAGGGCGAGUAGGAGGAGAGCAAAGCCAACAGCUGAGCAGAGAAUUACAGCGGCCAAGUGAAGCCGACACUGGGGUCGGUGGACCCUAGAGAGAAAGCAUGGGACAAAACAGGAAAAUCCCUUUCAAGACAAUGGGAGGCAUUUGAAUUUGAAAUGCCUUGGUAAAUGCUGCUUUCUGGCACCUGGGAAAACUGCUCAGUAGUCAUAGCAGGAAAAAAGAGUGAGGAAUAAUGUGUCCAGUGGAAAUUCCUGCAGAUCUUGGCUCAGCAGAGCAUAAUUGGAGACUGGAGCCUGCUUGGGACACUGGAGCUGCCACCUCCACCCUUGCAAGAAGUGGGAUCUUGGAUGACCACGAGUGGUGAGCUUGGGUGUCAUUAAAAUGCAACUCCUGCAGCAGCUCAGAGCCCGGAGCUCCCUGCUGAGCAGUUUCAUCACGCUGCUAACUUAGAGGGAAGGUGCCACCUACUAAGUCACCCAAGCCACUUCCUGCAGCACCUGUUUUUAGCUCACAUCUCCUAUCCCAAUAGUGGCCAGACCCACGUGGAAAGUGCUGGAUCUGCAGCACCUGUUGCCGUUGGGCUGGAUUCAGGAGGAGUAACACACAGAGGGAGUAAUGCCUGUGCCCUGGCCAUGGGCAGAACCAGAGCAUGGCCCUGUUCCACAGUGGAAUGCACUUCUCCAGCACUUGGCCAAGCCUAAUGGAUGACCACUGCUCCUGGAUAUGGACUGGAAGACAGGCAGAGACAUCUCAUGGGCUGGCUGGAGCCUUCAGCGGGGAGGAGGACUAUGACCCUCCCAGCUGCCUGCUCGCUCCUCAGCUUUCUCUUUCUCAAGGGCUUCAGGAAGCUGCAGAGAUUCUGAGAUUUUUCUUUUCCCCUUUCUUGAAAGUGUGGCUAAAAAUAAAGGGAGUGUUGAAACCAAGCCCAGCCCAGAAAGCAGAGUGUGUAGGUGUGAUGCAAACCAACACCUGGGGCUGUGAAGCAUCCUGGGGGAGCUGGCACCCAUCUGGCAGAAAUGUUCUCUCUUUCUACUCACUCCUUCUUUGGCACCUUGUCAAAGAGCACACGAGAUGCUGAACCUUAAGUAAUCUUGUUUGAAAAUGACCUAAGCAUGUUGUUGUGGUUAUGAGGAGAAGAGAACAACGAGAGGACAACAGUUUUCAUUUGCAAAACUAUCUGGGACCCCUGAGAUACUGCUGUUCUCUCUGGUUUUAUUUCCUGGCUGAAGGUUUCUAGAGGUGGAUGGUAGAAAACGGUGAUGGCAGAUACUACUUUGAGGUGGUGGACCAGGAUCCUUCUGAGGUUUGGCCCCUGGCAGGUACAAAUAGAGCAGCAGACAACAUGCAGUGCAUGGCAGUGAGUUCUUGGACAGAGUCCAAUAGAAAGGAGCUCCUUCAAGUGUCAUAAAACCAUGGAGCUUCAGCUUAGAACCUGUAAGGAAGGCUGCUGUGUCUCCUUAAUUACAGGUUUUCCAUGGCUGCACAAGGUGGACAUGCCAGCCCCACCAGUGCCCCCUCACUCACACCCUCCCAGCAAGCAUGUGGUCAGGUCUUGGGGGUGUGAUGGGGAGAGGUCUCCCCUGAAAAUGGGGCAUUUGUAGGGCCUUUGUACAGCGAAUCAAGUAAUGAAACAGUGUGUGAUGCUACCAUAGACCCCCAGAAGAGCCAUGUCUGCACCCUGCCAGAGCGGAGGGGAUUGGGGCAGGGCGGGCAUUAAUGUGUUAAUCCUUACACAGCCUAAGGACUACAGCUACCAUGGAUGAAGGGCUGUGGUGGACAAACACAGACUUGGUAUCAUCUUUAAUGGAGUGGAGAUUGGCAUUUGGUACAAGGAGAAUUUGCCCCUCUUGUGUUCAGUAAAUUGCUUGGCUCUACCGUGAUCUUGGAGCAGCUCUGAUCCUCUCUUUGAAUGGCUGGGAGAGGCUGUGUGCAGCCACAGGGAUGGGAGAGUUACCCCGGGACACAAAAAGGCCCGGGCUUUGGUGGGUAAAGGUAGCACAGGUGGGACAGUGCACGUACAAGUGAGCAUUAUGAGCUGCACUGGUCUGCAACAGCCCACACAGGGGAACCUCUCAGGUACAGCAUCCCAGCUACUGCAGCAACCUGAGAGGCAGGAAUUCCCCUCUCCUCCCUGCCUUCUCCAUCUCCAAUGCUGUUGGCAGGACUGAAAGGUGGCAGGAAAGUACCCUCCAAGCAAGCCGAGCCAGAGAGCCGUGAAGGAGGGCUGUGAAAUCCAGGUGGGACCCAAACGGGCUGGGCUUCCAGGGACAGUCCAGCUGGUGAUGUCUGUGGACACCAGCCAAAGAAAAAGCCCUGAGUGCUGCCAAGACCCCACAUUGACCUGCCCUCCCCUCAUCCAGUGCCCUGGCUGAUGGAAGUGUAGGGCUGGAAGCGGUUUAUUCCCCAGCAGCCCUUUCCUGCUUAUCGGGAGCCAGUGGUGGGAGCAGGAGCUGCUCUCAGAGAGAGACCCAGCAAAUCCUCGGAUGAACGCCCGGACCGAGAGCAGUUUCCCAGGGGGAUCGGGGUGGAUUGGAUAAUUAAUCACAGCUUGUCUGGGGGAGGAUGAGGAAGUCUGAAUAAAGGUGUUAACAGCUCUUAAAGGCUUUCCUGGUUUGCAGAGGGUGCUGCCUCAAACAGAUUAUCUGGAAAUAUUAUUAGCUGGAGUGGGAAAGGGUUUUUUCCUCCUCUAGGCUCUUUGCAGCAACGCUAAAUCUGCUUGAGCUGUGGAGACAGGUUUUAUUGUGCAGGGGGAGGUGGGGGAGAGGUGUUGGCUGUCAGUGGGUCAGCAAUUAAUUGGUUUAUUCCUUUCUCACGGUCAUUUUCUAACCAACAUCGGCUAAAGCCCCAGUGCCCACUUUGUCCCAGCUCAGCAAACAAGAACCACAGGGAUUUGCACUGGGGGGACCCCAGGCCACGAGAUUGGCUUUGCAGGGGCUGCUGGGAGGUCCCUUGUCCUGCCAAGCCUCUUUACCUGUUAUCUCAUCUUAGGAGGAGGAUGUGAUUAGUGUUUGCUGCCAUGGGGUGUCAGCUGAGCGAUGAGAACCGUGUGCCAAGAGGAGGAAAGAGCUGCCACGGGUGGAUGGAAUCCCAGCAAACUUGCCACGGGCAAGAACAUUCAUUGGUGAGGCAGUGCCAAACCCCCCGAGCUGUCCAUACACAAAGGGGUCGGGUCAUCCCUCGUGCAGCCCCCCAGCUGCAGCAGGGCUUGGCACAGGGUUUCUGCUGAAGAUGUGAGGGUUUGGUCCUGCAGGAGCAGCUGCGUGGGUUUUGCAAUGCAGAUACUCAGAGAGCCGCAGACUCCAAACUGUGAAUGCCUGUUCCUGGACUCUGAGCUCCUGAGGUUGAUUUUACCGCUGCAAUAAUAAGGGGAAAUUAUGUGGAUUGGUGGCAGAAGCAAGUUAUAUGGUGAGUGGAGAGGAACACAUCUCCAGAGCCACGUUACUGCCUCAGACAAGGCUGCAGCAGGCGACGGCGCCCGGCUCUCCCGGCACAGACGACUACAAUGAAUGACCCAAGAGGCCCUGCAGGUCAGGUCCUGCUCUGGAAGUCACUGAGUUGUGGAUCAGCCACGUAGCUGAUGGAAACACUGCUGCUGGCCCGUGGAAGGGUUUUAUUUUUCAGCCAACACAUACAGGAAAGAAUAGUUUUAUUUUCUUAGCUAUCACUUUUUGCAGCCCGUGCCAAGCUAACAAUGGCUGGGUAUUCCUCUGAGGUUGUAAAAUAAGCUCAUUCAUGCUUUCCUUUCUCUCUAUUUGCUGUAAGAAAAAUCUACUGAGCUUCUGUUUGCUUUUGAGGUGGAGCCCGUGGUAUGGCACCAGCAGCCAAGCACUGCUCUGCUCAAACAUGAGGGCAAUGCCAUUUGUGUUCCCUCAGCCACACGGGUACAGAGAUAGGGAAAUGUCAGUGGGAGCCUCUUGUGGGCUCCUUCUCACCAAGGGGAGCCUCCCUCCCUCCCUGCUGCCUUUGCUGGAGCUCUGUCAUUUCCACUAUGGACCGUGCAGGGAGCAGUGGCCACUUCCCACUGAGUCAGAGCUGAAUCACCGCCCCACACUGAGCACAAGGGGCCCCAGGGCUGCUGGAGAUGCUGCUUUGGUGGUGGUGGAAGCCGAGUCUGUAUCAAUGUGGGGAUGGAUGGGGGAUGUUGUCCUUUGGCACAUAAUGGUGGCCUGUU